AAUGAACGCUGGCGGCGCGCCUAAUACAUGCAAGUCGAGCGAGAAGACGUAGCAAUACGUUUGUAAAGCGGCGAACGGGUGAGGAAUACAUGGGUAACCUACCCUCGAGUGGGGAAUAACUAGCCGAAAGGUUAGCUAAUACCGCGUACGCUUCUUGGACUUCGGUUCAGGGAGGAAAGCGAUACCGUGGGUAUCGCGCUCUUGGAUGGGCUCAUGUCCUAUCAGCUUGUUGGUGAGGUAACGGCUCACCAAGGCUACGACGGGUAGCUGGUCUGAGAGGACGAUCAGCCACACUGGCACUGCGACACGGGCCAGACUCCUACGGGAGGCAGCAGUGAGGAAUAUUGCGCAAUGGGCGAAAGCCUGACGCAGCGACGCCGCGUGGGGGA
rnacentral:rRNA from 1 species